rnacentral:ncRNA from 1 species
CUCUUAUCAAGAGUAGCUGAGGGACUGGCCCUGUGAAGCUCGGCAACCAUCUGAACAUCAGAAAGGUGCUAAAUCCUGCAAAACAGUUUUUGUUUUGAAAGAUAAGAG